rnacentral:rRNA from 1 species
ACCAGACUCCUACGGGAGGCAGCAGUGGGGAAUAGGGGGCAAUGGGCGAAAGCCUGACCCAGCAACGCCGCGUGAAGGAAGAAGGCUUUCGGGUUGUAAAACUCUUUUCUCAGGGACGAAGCAAGUGACGGUACCUGAGGAAUAAGCCACGGCUAACUCCGUGCCAGCAGCCGCGGUAAUACGGAGGGUGCGAGCGUUAAUCGGAAUUACUGGGCGUAAAGCGCUCGUAGGCGGUAUGUCAAGUCAAGGGUGAAAUCCCCGCGCUCAACGUGGGAACUGCCUUUGAGACUGGCAAACUGGAGUGUGUGAGAGGAUAGUGGAAUUCCAGGUGUAGGAGUGAAAUCCGUAGAUAUCUGGAGGAACAUCAGUGGCGAAGGCGACUAUCUGGCACAUAACUGACGCUGAGGAGCGAAAGCGUGGGUAGCAAACAGGAUUAGAUACCCUCGUACUU